UAAAUGACUUCAAUGAAAAGAACAUUUUGGGCCAUGUGUCAUUUAUUUAAUCAGUAUGAAGAAGUGAAAGGACACGGCAGCCUUCCACAGCUCAUCUCUUUAUUUGCACCCUUUCCAAACAAGGUGCCCUUGAUAGAGAUGGAAAGAAUGUAUGAAGGUGACUUCAGUGACAUCAGUUUUCUUAAACAAUAUCGUCAAGACAAUGUCACAGUUACACAGUACAAAAGGCUUUACAACAACUUCGAAGAUUCAUAUUCAGCAGUCUUUAUGAGCCUGAAAGAGAGGAACGGAUAAGCAACACUUGGUAUUAUAAAUGUAUCGUGGACUGUGGAAACCAGGAGGACUUCACUGAAUCAGUGACUCUCACAAUUACUGGCGUCCACGUGGACCCAGACUGGACACAGGAGACACUGAAGACCAUAAGUAACUUUAUAAAAUGCUCCUCAAGUAAAGUUGCCAUCAUAGUGGACUAUGGUGGUGUUAAUGAAAUAAAGGAAAGAUUUGUUCACUUCUUAUCAGAUUGCCUGGAUUUGAUAACUUCAAUACGUUUUCUAGAAGGAUUCAAUGAAAAAACUUUUGGGCCAUGUGCGGUUAUUCAAGCACUAUGAAGAAAUAAAAGGACACAAAAGCCUUCAGCGACUCAUCUCUUUAUUUGAACGUUUUCCAAAUGAUGUGCCUUUGACAAACAUUGAGAGGACUGAUGAAAGUGACUUCAGUUUUCUUACACGAUAUCAUCAGGACAACGUCACUGUUUCAUGGCACAAAGAGGCUUUACAUCAACUUUGGUUAUGCAUAUUCAGAA